rnacentral:lncRNA from 14 species
UAGGCUUGGCCUGGCUAUGUGCCUGGUCAACCAGUGACUGCCACCCAUGAAAUUCAAGCUUGCUGUCCAGGAUCUGCAGGGCGCACUGCUGAGGACAUUGACAGCGGGUGACAGAGCACUGCCCAGCGCCUGUGUCCAGUCCCACCCACCCGGGCACCUAGCUUUAGCACCUCAAGACCCUUAAAGCAAUUUUCCUUCACAUGAAAACACAGUGAGCACAGCGUAGGUGGAAGAGCUGACUCCAUCACACCCUGGCUCUGUGUGGUGCUCUGUAAAGCUCCUGGGGAGAGGUACCAACUCCCCAGUCCUCUGUCCCCAUCUUUAUAAGCACAAAAGCCCCGAGGGCUGCAGUAUCUCUCGCUGACACACACAGGUUGCUGCUACCUCCGGACAAUGUCGCUGAUCUCCUUCACAGAGCUAAGCAGCUUGCUGAAGUCUUGUGUGGCCGCUGGCCCACUGGAG